rnacentral:rRNA from 1 species
GUAAGGAAUAUUGGACAAUGGACGCAAGUCUGAUCCAGCCAUGCCGCGUGAAGGAUUAAGGUCCUCUGGAUUGUAAACUUCUUUUAUAAGGGACGAAAAAAGGCUUUUCUAAGUCGUCUGACGGUACCUUAUGAAUAAGCACCGGCUAACUCCGUGCCAACAGCCGCGGUAAUACGGAGGGUGCAAGCGUUAUCCGGAUUCACUGGGUUUAAAGGGUGCGUAGGCGGGCAGGUAAGUCAGUGGUGAAAUCCUAGAGCUUAACUCUAGAACUGCCAUUGAUACUAUCUGUCUUGAAUAUUGUGGAGGUAAGCGGAAUAUGUCAUGUAGCGGUGAAAUGCUUAGAUAUGACAUAGAACACCUAUUGCGAAGGCAGCUUACUACGCAUAUAUUGACGCUGAGGCACGAAAGCGUGGGGAUCAAACAGGAUUAGAAACCCUGGUAGUCC